rnacentral:misc_RNA from 1 species
AAUGUCCUUGUUUGUUGUCCUGGAAUUGGUUGGUCCAUUAGCAGAUAUUCAAGCAACUGAUGCAAUAACAGAGAUACAUUAUAGUCAUUUGUGCUUGUUCUUUUUGUCUUUAUCUACAAGAUGCAAUUUGUACUCUACCUAUUAAUAUAUUAAAUGACCAUGCACAGCUGUUAAUAUUCACCAACUACUAACAGAAACUGUUUAUAUUUCCAUUUGAUAGGUAGUAUUGUCAUUGUUAUGAUUUGAGAAUAGGAAAAUAACAA